UACGUAGGGGGCUAGCGUUGUCCGGAUUUAUUGGGCGUAAAGAGCGUGUAGGCGGCCAGGUAGGUCCGUUGUGAAAACUCGAGGCUCAACCUGUGAAUGCCGCUGGAAACUGUCUGGCUAGAGUCCGGGAGGGGCGAGUGGAAUUCCUGGUGUAGCGGUGAAAUGCGCAGAUAUCAGGAGGAACACCAAUGGCGAAGGCAGCUCGCUGGAACGGAACUGACGCUGAGGCGCGAAAGCGUGGGGAGCGAACAGG
rnacentral:rRNA from 1 species